rnacentral:rRNA from 1 species
UACGUAGGCAGCGAGCGUUGUUCGGAGUUACUGGGCGUAAAGGGUGUGUAGGCGGUUGUUUAAGGUUGGUGUGAAAUCUCCCGGCUCAACUGGGAGGGUGCGCCGAAUACUGAAUGACUAGAGUGCGGGAGAGGAGAGUGGAAUUCCUGGUGUAGCGGUGAAAUGCGUAGAUAUCAGGAGGAACACCGGUGGUGUAGACGGCCCUCUGGACCGUAACUGACGCUGAGACACGAAAGCGUGGGUAGCAAACAGG